rnacentral:rRNA from 1 species
UACGUAGGUGGCAAGCGUUGUCCGGAUUUAUUGGGUUUAAAGGGUGCGUAGGCGGUCUUAUAAGUCAGUGCUGAAAUAUCCCGGCUUAACCGGGAGGGUGGCAUUGAUACUGUAGGACUUGAGUAAAGUUGAGGUUGGCGGAAUUGACGGUGUAGCGGUGAAAUGCUUAGAUAUCGUCAAGAACACCGAUAGUGGAGACAGCUAACUAAGCUUUAACUGACGCUGAGGCACGAAAGUGUGGGGAUCAAACAGG